AGGGCCGUAGCGCGGAGGUCGUCGCGCCGACGGAGCUGGAGGACGUCGGUUCGAAUCCGACCGGCCUUG
rnacentral:tRNA from 1 species